GAUGAAGAACGCAGCGAAAUGCGAUAAGUAAUGUGAAUUGCAGAAUUCAGUGAAUCAUCGAAUCUUUGAACGCACAUUGCGCCCGCCAGUAUUCUGGCGGGCAUGCCUGUUCGAGCGUCAUUACAACCCUCAGGCCCCCGGGCCUGGCGUUGGGGAUCGGCGGAGCCCCCCGUGGGCACACGCCGUCCCCCAAAUGCAGUGGCGGUCCCGCCGCAGCUUCCAUCGCGUAGUAGCUAACACCUCGCGACUGGAGAGCGGCGCGGCCACGCCGUAAAACACCCAACUCUUCUGAAGUUGACCUCGAAUCAGGUAGGAGUACCCGCUGAACUUAAGCAUAUCAAUAAGCGGAGGA
rnacentral:misc_RNA from 1 species